CUCUGGGUUGCAGUGUGCGCCACACGUCAUAUAAGUUAAAUUGGAUUAGGAGUUUAUUAAGUAUGGCGCAGGCCGGUGUAAGAGAUUUUGAUCUAGGUUUUGUUGCAUUUAGCGUUGUGUCCCUUUCGGGGUCUAGGAUAUGAUUCAGGUCUCCGCAGUAUAUUAAUGUGCCUUGUUGUAUAUUGCUCACCUUGGUCAGCAGGCUUUGUAGGAAAUCUCUUUGGUUGUCGUUUGGUGCAUAGAUGUUGACUAUGGUGUAUGUGACAUCAUUAAGGUUGCAUAUUAAUAUGAGAUCUCCCAUUACUGUCUGUGACUAUUUUAAUUGGUUCAAAUGCUACUGAUUUGUGCAUUAGGAUGCUGACUCCCCUGGAUGUGGAGUGGUAUUGGUUUGGAAAUUGUUUAAGGCCUAAGGAUGGCGAUUUCAGUCUUUGGAAGUGAGUCUCUUGGAGGCAUAUCACAUCCGCGUCAUGUUUUUUUCAGUUCUGUAAGCAGCAGUUGGCAUUUUUGGGGGGAGUUUAAUCCCCGUACAUUAUGUGAGUAUAUUUUCAUUAAGGAAUUGGUCUAACGUGGGCUUAUCAUUGGUCGUUGGGUGAUAUAGUCUAAAGUUUGGCAUGAGCUGGC